ensembl:lncRNA
AGCUAUUUAUACCAAUGGCACAGGGCUACAGGAGCAACUCAGACCAUCUCUCCCCUCACGAACACACACAUAGACACUUUCUCUAGUGCUCACACACUUAUGUGAACACAUCUGGUUGUUAUUAUCAUUUUCCCAGCCUGGCCUGUGGAGAGCAAACCCAUCCAGCCAUCGACCCACACAGUGUGAAAUCUACACCCCCUCAAGGAGAGCAGUGAGGUCACAGAAGACGAAAGCACCAUUGUGCAUUCAGAGGGAUGGAGGACAGGAGGUACCUGCCACCAGAUGGAGGUGGCAAUGCCAAACGCUCUGCCUCAGCUGAGUGUGACACAGAGGAUAGAGCGAUCAGGAAGGAGCAGGGUGACCCUGAGACCUCCACACAAAUGUGUGUGAGAAAAGACGAUCUCUGCAAUGUUCCUCGCAAGGUGCCUCGUUUCCAGUAUGUGGAUUUCCCUUCCCUGCACCAGUGCAUCCAACAGCUUUCUGUGCCUCCUCUGAACGGCUGGCUGGGCUCCUGCUCAUUAGGAAAGGCACCAAACAACAGGCCUGCCAGUCCUAAGGAAAAGGUACCCAAGUUUAAAUAUGUGGACUACCCAUCUCUCCACCACUGCAUUCAGCAGCUGUCUGUGCCUCCAUUGGAAAGCUGGAGUGCAGGGCUGGUCAGGUUUAAUGCAGAGGGGAAGGAGGAUGGCUCUGGGUCGCAGAAGAGGCCCUCUCAACCUGGGACUGUGAAGGAUAACAAAAGCAAUGAGGCAGGAGAUCAAAACAACGAGGACAGGAGUAGAGUUAUAUCAUUUUCUUUCCCAAGAGACACACACAACUCCGUCUCAGGCAAGGAGGAGAGGCCUCAACACGACUACACCUCAGAGGUGCCAAAGAGGUUAGAGAAAGAUAACGCACCUCUAAGGUCCCGUGCUACUAAACCAGAUGCUGCUUUCCAAUCAGAUUGCAGAUCAAGAGCAGAAUCUGGUUCUGGAUCUCGUAGCGAUGGAGCAGUGGUGAGAAACGACAGACCGUCUAUUAUUAACAUGGUGCACACAGAUAAGCAGAAGCACUGGACAAUGGCAGAUCACUUGGAAGAACAAUUGAACUCUCCAGAUUCAGUCGGACGGGUACCAUGGAAAACCAUCCCGGAGUCAGUCUGCCCAUUCUGCCAACAGAUGUUCACCAACCCCGAGCAGUUCAGGGCUCAUCAGCGGAGCCAUAGAGAUAAGAGACCAAACUGAUGUGCAGAAGUACUGAGUGAAAACUGCUUCUGGCAAACAGUUAAUGCCACAUCAUAUGGAAUAAUAUCAUCAGAGGCCUUCUUGUGUUGUGACUGGUUAUAGUGGCAUUGCUGGCAGGACUAUAGAGAGAUCGAAGAUGCAUUAAGCACAUUAGACAGUUUGGGUUCAGACCUUAGGGAGAAUGCAAGACUUUGUCUUGACUGAUGUUGCGAAGUCUAAAAAGGCAGAACUGGACAGACAGAAACACACAAGCAUACAAUAUGCAUGCACAUACAGUGCACUUGGGAGAGUGCCGACACACACACACACACACACACACACAUGCAGAGUAUCCUAUUCAUGAUUCAGAAGAGGUCAAUAUUUACUGCCCCAUAUAAGGACCAUCAGACAUAAUGGGGUUUCGGCUCAAAACAGGGGAUUAGAACCAGAUUUAUAGUCUCUUCCACACAUAUAUCAGCGUGUUUACUGGUGUGGGUGAAGCUCGAUGGACUGGUGCGUAAGAAGAUGAAUUUUAUUACAUAUGUAUUCCCCACACUGUGUGCAUGGUGGCAGGGGUGCCUACAAAAUAAUGGCUAUUGUUAAUGCUGCACAAACAAACAGGCUUGAUAAUAAUGAUUUGUUACAUUAGCUUUUUAUUGUUUUGUACUUUUUAUGUUUUUGGAAAUUAAUGUCUAGUGGCUUCGAGCUAGUAGCUUUAAAUCUUAAAAUGUACUGUUUGUUUUCAAGUGUUUAAUUGUGUGAGUAAAGAUUUUUUCAGAAACAAAUGUUCAACUUUUCAGUGCAGGAAUAUCCUCUGCAAGAAAGCCUGUUUGACAGGUUAGCUCUCAGUUUCAUAGAUGAAGUAUUUAAGCUUCAUAUAAACAAAGGAGCUUAUUCAAAACCAACAACUACAGUGACAAAACUCACUAUUUACAUUUAAGCCUCAAGUCUAAAUGGAUUUUAGAUAUUUUGAAAGACCUAUUUUGAACUUUUGUUUAUAAACUUUUGCAAGGACAUAAUAAAAAAUGUUAUUACAGUAAAGUUCUGACCA